rnacentral:lncRNA from 1 species
UACCGAUCUGCUACACAACCCGGCAGGAGGCUCCUGGUUAACAUUCUGACAGCGCUGCUCAGGUUGUGAUACUCACUGCUGCUGCUGAUGUGGUUCUUUGAGGCGGAUGUUGGCUGGGUGCAAUGCGGACAAACGUCGCCAGCCCAGGAAGCACUGGAUGGGUUUUGACAAUGUUCAGGGCAUGGAUGAUGCCAAGCAGAAGCUUGUCAAGGUGAAUAUGGUCUCUCUACUUCUCACUCAUGAUUGUGUUUCUGUGAUGUUGAUGAUAUGCCGAGAUUCAAUGCUGAUCCGGAAGUGUCCAGAACUUCCCCAAAUGCAUGAUAGUUAGUUGUUAUAAAUGUUGGCGUGAGUUGCCUAGAGAUCCGCCACUGAGAGAGCUGCGUUUGUUUCACCCGAAACUUGCCCAACUCGGGAUAGGUAGUAGCUAGCGAUACUGAUGCGAGUUGCCCCAAGAUUUUUUUAGCAACAAUUUUAUUUUAAUUUGCAUAAAAGCUGUUAUUUCCAAUAGGUUUUGUUCUUGUAUUUUAGGAGAACAUUGGGGCCUGGAAUAUGGAUCAUAGGUGCUCACAUAUAGAUAACCAAUGUGUAUGACGUGUCUCCUAGGUUGUUGAUUUGAUUAGUGUUGUACUCGCUCCGUUCCAAAAUGUAAGACCACUUUUGACACGACGAUAGUGUCAAAAAUGAUCUUACAUUUUGGGACGGAGGGAGUAGUAGUUAAAAACAUUUUGCAUUUUUAAAUUGGAGAUAUACCAGGAAGUAGAGGGUUGAUUAUAGUACCUUUUUUAUGUACUGAAUGUAGUUUUUGUACCUUUUUUUUAUGCAUUUGAGUUCCAGCCAGAAAGUAUGCUUUCUUUCUAGUCAACGACUUUGCACUAACUUGCCUAUAAUGCGAGAAAGUUGCCUACAAUAAAUUUUCUAGUAUCUAUGGGAGAUUUGUGAGUAGUUCUAUGUUGAAUUAUGUGUUUGAUCAGGGGAAUUUCACAUUGGUUUGAUUUUUGUGUUAGUAUAUGCACUAUGCUAUAUAAAGUGUUCAAGACUUGCCCAACUCAUGAUAGUUAGUUGCUAGAAAUGUUGGCGCAAGUUGCCCAGAGAUCCGCUCCUGAGAGUGUUGGGUUUUAUUUCACCCAGAACUUUAAGCUUUAAAACUUGCCCAACACAUAAUAGUUAUUUGCUAGAGAUGCUGGAGCGAGUUGCCCAGACAUAUUUUUUAGCAAUAAAUUGAUUUUCAUUUUCACAUUGCUAUUUCCAAUAGAAUAAAUUGCCUACAUAUACACAUUAUUUGCCUCAUAAUGCCGGAUAGUUGCCUACAAUAAAUUUGAGAGUAGUUCUGUGUUGAGUUAUGUAUAUGAUCAGGGAGAUUUCACAUUAAUUGUGCUAUAUAAGCUCACCGCACCAAUAAUUAUGUUAUAGGUUGCCUUACUGUAAUGCCAAGUUGCCUUAGUUAUGAUAGUUAGUUGCCCAGAGAUCGGCGACAUAUGUGGGGUGACGAUUUUGAGCUGGAAGUGUUCAAAACUUGCCCAACUCAUGAUAGUUACUUGCUAGAAAUGCUUGCGCGAGUUGCCUCGAGAUCCGCCACCGAGAGUGCUGGGUUUUAUUUCGCCCAAAACUUUAAACUUUAAAACUUGCCCAACACAUGAUAGUUAUUUGCUAGAGAUGCUGGUGCAAGUUGCCCAGAGAUAUUUUUUAGCAACAAAUUGAUUUAAUUUUCACAUUGCUAUUCCAACAGAAUAAAUUGUCUACAUAUAAAUAUUACUUGCCUAGAUCACCUAACUUUCGUAUAUAUUUUGUUAUCCACUAAUUUGAUACACCGAAAUAACUUCUUUAGGUCCACCAAACAAGCAGAACAUUUUCGGUUGUAGCAUAAUCAACACCAUCAGUUUCUGGUACAAGGCAUGUCUAUGUGGUCACCUUCAGCAGCUCCUUGCUCCUCGGCUUCCACCCCAUCAUGGCUAGUCCGUCGUUGCAGUACAAGACGGAGUUGUCUGAAUAACAAUCACUAGUUGUCUGGUACAAGAUGAAAGUUGCGUAAACAACAACCACUAAUAGCAAUGGGAUACUCGCUAGUCAUAUUAGGCAACUUAAAUAUGAUGUUAGGAUACUCGCUAGUCAUGUUAGGCAACUUAGAGAUGAUGUUAUGCAACUUUAAAAACGACAUGAUGUGUUUCCUAACUUUUGCUUCAUGCGUUGCAGGAAGGGGGCACAACACCAUGGAGGGGUUGGGAGGGUGGGUGGGUACUCAGUAGUACAUAGUUACCCAACUAUAGCUCACAAGAUGUCGGACAAAAAGGCAACCACAAACGAAUGAGAAUGUAGCUAAAGAAGGCCAGAGAAAGGAGCACCUGUAGUUAAAUUGCUCUCAUAGCGGUUCGUCAUGAAUCUCUUCUCUUUUGGGCGGGAUUACUUGGUGCGAGCAGAGAUACUUGGAGAGUGAUGCAACCAACGGACGGUUCUGCUUAGUGACGAAGCUGAUCACCUCCCAGCUGGCAUCCUUUAGCUUAACAAUGAAUGGUUUCUCUCACAUAGAUUUGAAAUAUGUGUUCUCACAGUAACAAAAUAUCCUAUUUUUUAUUCUAAUGUCUUGUUUCUUAUGCAGAAGGUACGAUCGAUAGGCCCGGAUUGGUGAGGAUCAAUUACCCAAACAUACAUGGACACCCCAAAGGCGCCUGCACUACUGGACCUCCUUUUCUUUCUUUUUUGUAAACUCGGGAGCUUCUAAGUUGCACAUGACUGAUGCAUAAGUCGCACAAAAGUGUCCAUAGAGUUGCCUGUCCGAACCAUUUUUGUGUUGCUGUACAUUUGCCCUCAUCUUUCUACAUGUACAUGUAACUCUCUUUGUUUUCCCUUUUCCUAACUCUCUUUGUUGCCUCUGAUGUACACAAAACUCGCUUAAAUACACACCGGAGUUGCUUACCAGUAGCAACUCCUUUGAUCACCUAUAAGAGUUGCAGCUAGACCUGUCCCACCGAGCCACUGAUGCUUUGUCCUUUUAAAGUUGCUUUUAAAUCAGGAAGAAAAGCCACCCAAAUUUCCCAACAAUCUCUUCAGAGCGCCACUGAUGAAUGGAUUUUUUGAGUGAUUUUGUGGCCUUGCGUUGAGAGAGAGCGGACGUGGGGGAGUCUGUUUAUGUGAGGCCACGCUUGCGGAGGGGGCACGUGUACCUUUUUGGGACAUAAC